CAUACGACUCUCUCUCUCUUUAGUUCGAUCUAUUUCUAAGACAAGAACACUAGGAUUAGAACAAAAUCACUAAUUCUCGACUUCGACAUGCGUCUACGGAAAGAAUUCAAUAAGGCCAUAAAUCCGAGAGCUCCAACGUAUUCGACGGCGUUUACUUCGGCUGCGGCGAGAACAACCAAGGACUCUUCACCGGCGUCGCCGGUCUUCUGCCCGACAAGCUCUCUUUCCCGUCGCAGACGGUGACGACCUACAACAAGAUCUUCUACCACUGCCUCCCUUCCUCGGCUAGCUACACCGGACAUCUCACCUUCGGAACCGCCGGAAUCUCCAGAUCCGUCAAGUUCACCCCGAUCUCCACGAUCACCGACGCCACAUCCUUCUACGGCCUCGACAUCGUCGGAAUCACCGUCGGCGGUCAGAAACUAGCGAUUCCUUCGACCGUGUUCUCUACUCCGGGAGCUCUGAUCGACUCCGAUUCCUUCCAGAAUUACACAAGAAACACACCUAGAAUUGCCAAAGCUCGAGCUGCAGCUUUAUUGACUCGUGGUUCAGGUGUGACAGUCAACUUUGAGAGCCCUUGAAGAGGCUAAGAAUGAGAGACUCUGGUUCAAGACGAAUCUAAACCUCUGCAACAUCUGGUUUGACAUUGGUGAAUACAGACGAAUGACUAAGGAACUACAUUAAAUCUUGUCAAGAGGAAGAUGGAACUGAUGAUCAGAAGCAGGGAAGUCAGCUGCUUGAGGUGUAUGCUAUUGAAAUUCAGAUCUAAACUGAAACAAAGGACAACAAAAAGCUUAAGCAACUGUACCAGAAAGCACUUGCUAUCAAAUCUGCUAUACCUCAUCCUAGGAUCAUGGGCAUAAUCCGCGAGUGUGGUGGCAAAAUGCACAUGGCAGAACGUCAGUGUGCAGAAGUGGCCACAACCUUCUUUGAGGCUUUCAAAAAUUAUGAUGAAGCUGGCAACCAAAGGCUUAUUCAGUGCUUAAAGUAUCUUGUUUUUGCAAAUAUGCUGAUGGAAUCAGAAGUGAAUCCAUUUGACGUUCAAGAGGCAAAGCCGUAAGUCAAUUUCCCAAAAGUAUGGCUGUAUUCUACAGAAUAACCGGAGGACGAUAAUGGAUGAUCCAGUCAUCAGAAACUACAUGGAAGAUCUACUGAAGAAGGUGAGGACACAGAUUUUGCUGAAGCUGAUAAAGCCGUACACAAAGAAAAUUUGGGAAGGUCUUGGAAGGAGAAGUGGAGAUGUGUCGGAAGAUUGCACAAGAGAUGGGUGUUUUAGUGAUAAUGAUAAUGUAUACUUUAGCUGCAUGGGAGAGAGCAACAGAGCUUGUGCAUGAGAAUGAUAAUUCGAGUAUUGUAGUGAUGCUUCAAAUCAUUGUAGUGAUGCUUCAAAUCGGAGCACUCUUGGGAUGUAUGGUCUUGCUCAAAGCUACAAAUCUUUCUUCGCCAACUUGAAUGAUUAGGAUUUUUUUGUAGCGUACCAUUCCCAAGACUUGAAUAGACAUCAAUCUAAAGAUUUGGUGAAGCUUUCACUUAGUAAUUAUUAAGAUUUACACGUUAUGCUGUAUUUGACUUUUUGCUUUGCCGAUUUGGGAAGAUUUUGUUCGAAUUUAGGAUAGCUAUCCUGAAUAAAAAUUAUCUUAAGAUUGAUUUACUCUCCU